rnacentral:rRNA from 1 species
GACGAACCGUGCGAACGUUAUUCGGAAUCACUGGGCUUAAAGCGCGUGUAGGCGGGACGGCACGUCGGUCGUUGAAAUCCCCCGGCUCAACCGGGGAACGGGCGCCGAUACGACCGUCCUGGAGGGACGUAGGGGGACCUGGAACUUCCGGUGGAGCGGUGAAAUGCGUUGAGAUCGGAAGGAACGCCCGUGGCGAAAGCGAGGUCCUGGACGUUUCUGACGCUGAGACGCGAAAGCCAGGGAGCGAACGGG